AUACCAUGGUGAUGGAAUUUUCUUUAUAGUUCCUCAAAUUCCUCCCAUGCCUCAUAGAACGAAUCACAAUCCUUUUGAGUGAAGUUCUAAAUCUCCCUCCUUAGUCU